CAGCUAUCCUAAAGGACCCUACAGUAGAGGUCCUUGUUGUACUUUUUAGCUGCCAUCAGGUUAGCAAAAUAUAAAGAAAUGCAAAAAGAACAGGCUAAGAUUAUUGCUGUAAAAUUUUCUCACGCCGCCUGCUGUUAAGGUGCCGGUCGUGAACAUGUCGAUCAGGAGUAAUUGGCUUGAAAUCCCUUCUUGGUUCAGGGGACUCGUGAAACCAGGUAUGGUUGAGGGCAUCCUUCGCUGUUAUUCGCUCCGCAGGGUAUAACAUAAGAGCCUCUUCAACAAAUCAAACCCAGAUUCAGAGAGCACUGGGCAUGAUCCAGUGAAAGAUGCGGCAGGAAAUUUCUUGCGCAGAAGAUUGUACCUGAAAGAGUUUCAGAAACUAUUAGAAAGAUAUUAAACGGUGAAAACAAGUAACCACAAAAAUCAGCAGGAAGGAAUGAACUUGCAUUCGCUAAAAUUAAAAUGGAAAAAAGAAACUUACGGUUGCUUAACAAAAUUAGCUUUGAAGCCCGGCAAUUUGGACAAACCACUUUUCUCAUCUGGUGUACCAAGAGUUUUGAAGAUCUUGUCCAGCUGCUCAAUUUCAUCUUUCCCGCUAAAGAGAGGUGCCUUCGCCAACAAUUCAGCCAUUAUGCAACCUACUGACCACAUAUCAAUUGCUGUAGAGUACUGUUUUGCACCUAAUAGAAUUUCAGGUGCCCGGUACCACAAAGUGACAACUAAAGAAGUAUAUGGCUUUAGUGGACUCCCAUAUUGUCGUGACAACUCAAAGUCGCAUAUUUUCAACUCACCCUCGUUAUUCAAUAGAAUAUUUGAUGUUUUCAGAUCUCUGUGAAGGAUCCAAUUGUCAUGAAGAUACUCUACACCCUCCAAACGUUGUUUCAUCAAGUACUUAACUUCGCCAAUACUAAAUGGCUGCUUCAUUGACUCCAUUAGCCCCUUCAAGUCAUGGUCCAUAUGCUCCAUAACCAUAUAAACACCAUCAAAGUCAUCCAUAACAACUUCCUUAACACCAACAACAGAAGGGUGAUUAAAGGACAGGAGAAUAUUUAUUUCUCUCAAUGCCGACAUAGGGAAACCAUCACAUCCCUUAUCCACAUCCAUCUUCAUCUUCUUCAAUGCGACAAUUUCUCCGGUCUUUUUAUCUCUGGCUCUAAAGACAACACCAUAAGUGCCUUCACUUAUAUGGUUGAGCCUUUCAUACUCAAACACACUUCUGCAACCUUGAAGCAUGUUUAUACAUUUUUGUGUCGGCACUUCUGGCUCUUCAAUCUGAGAAAGAUCAGAAUCAUCCUCAGAAUCAGAGUAGAACUGGCUAUCGUCAGCAUUCCCACCAUAAUUAUCAGCAUCCAUAUGCGCAUCAUCACAUAACUCGUCUCCAUAAAGUGCAUCUCCACUGCCAGGCUUUUCAAAGCUGCCUUCUAUGUCAGAGCCAGAAGUUCUAGCCCGACUCAACCUAGAGCUUUCUAUCCGAAUCUCCCCACUUUCAGGCGAACUGUCAUCAGAGAUAUCCCUUGGGGAAUCACUACCGGAUGACCAUUUUGACAAUGAGAUGUCACGUUGAUAGAAAAAUUCUUUGUCUUCCUUGUUUCUAAAAUUUAAGUCACUGUUUCUGGAUUUUUGUUCUUUUCUUUUUGGAUAUAGUGUUUGUUUGUGCACAGACAAAACAAACAUUGUAUCUUUUUUUUUUUUUUUUUUGGUUUCCAUAAACAAUGUUAUGUUUUGGGUUAUCCAGAAACAGUUUUAUGUUAUGGUUCUUUUUUUUUCUAGACACUUUUUCGCUCUGCCAUUAAACUUCUUUGAACUUAUUUCGGCGGCUUUGUUUCAAUAAAUGCUUCAUUUUUCAACUUUGAUUUGGUUGUUUUUGAAAUGGGGGAAUUUAAUUUGAUAUGAAGACAAGGAGUUAUUAUGGCGGUUUCGUGCUAAUUUGAAGUUGGUGAAGAGUCAAUACAAUAUCAAAUCAUUUAGGGAUAUUUAUAGAAGUGUAGAUUUGUAGUGGGUGGGGCUUGUAAGUUUGACCCGUAGACAAUAGUUUUGGAUGAUUUUGUAUUAAACUUUGAGUCAUUUUGGUUAAAUAACAUUUUAAAAUGAUUUUUUGUUAAAUAUUUAUUGACCCAGACCCUUUUCAUUAAGGACUUGGAUUCUCUGCCCUCCCAAUUUGGUGCCCUCCCCGUGCCCUCCUGUUUGUGUGGUCACGGUUAAGGUACGUCAAUAUUUUAUAUUAUUAUUUUUUUUUGUCUUAUUAUUUUUAUAAAAAACAAUAUAAAAUGUUAGCAUGGAUUAACCGUGACCACACAAAACAAGAGGGCACACGGGGAGGGUACCAAAAUAGGAGGGCAGAUAAUCCAAGUCCUUUCAUUAAAACUCACUAAAUUUAAUCACCCUAACAUUUCUCUUAUAUUUAUAUGGCAACCCAAGAGAGUCAACAUCUGGAUUUAAUUUCGCAUAAAAUCCGCGUUUGCUCCUCAUUCCUUAUCUGAAUUAUUUACCUCCCAAACUCAACCUUUUUACAACCACAAAAGCACCCAACUAGGAAAAAGCCAAAUCAAAUACGUCAGUUCCCUUUCGUCUCCUGUCUCUUCGUUUUCGUCUUACAACUUAUAAGCACUUUCAACAUUCAAGUACCACGUCCAACUGAACCUUCAACCAUGGCGGACGAAUCCACACCAAAUCCCAAGAGCGGCUACUGCCUACAAACCAAGACAUUCCACACUCUCCGGCCUCCGGUCCCACUCCCGCCACUCUCCCAACCCCUCUCCCUCACCCAGUUCACCCUCUCCCUCCUCCAAUCCUCUACCGCCGCGCCCACCACCUCCGUCCUCAUCGACGCCGCCUCCGACCGCCAUGUCUCCUACCAAACUUUCCUCGGCCAAAUCCACUCCCUCACUCUCUCCCUCCAAUCCCUCGCCCCCUCUCUCUCCAAAGGUCACGUGGCCUUCAUUCUCUCCCCUCCUUCCCUCCACGUCCCCGUCCUCUAUUUCUCUCUCCUCGCCUUAGGCGUCGUCGUUUCGCCCGCUAAUCCAGUCGGGUCAGAGUCCGAGAUCGCCCAUCAGGUCCGGCUAACCCGACCAGCCAUCGCCUUCGCCACGUCAACAACCGCUCAGAAGCUCCCCAAGGGUGAUGACAAAAUCCGCAACGUUAUCCUCCUCGACUCGCCCGAAUUCCUCUCCAUGCUCGACCGGGUCGGUUCAUCCGAAACACGACCCGACCUCCGGUUUGCAGUCAACCAGACCGACCCGGCUACGAUUCUCUUCUCCUCCGGCACCACCGGCCGAGUCAAAGGCGUUCUCUUAUCACACCGCAACUUCAUCGCCGUCAUAGCUGGGCUCCAUGCCCUGCACGAACCCGAUCCGGACCUACCCAAAAGCCAAGCGGUGUCGCUGUUCACGCUACCUCUGUUCCACGUGUUCGGGUUCUUCAUGGUGGUUCGGGCGGUGGCAAUGUGCGAGACCUUGGUUCUGAUGGAGAGGUUCGAUUUCGAAUCAAUGCUGAGGGCCGCGGAGAGGCACAAAAUCUCGUACAUGCCGGUAUCGCCGCCGCUGGUCGUUGCAAUGGCGAAGUCGGAGCUGGUUAAGAAAUACGAUCUCAGCUCGCUUCGGCUUCUCGGCUGUGGCGGUGCGCCGCUGGGAAAGGACGUUGUUGACAGAUUCCGUGAGAGAUUUCCCACUGUUGAAAUUGUACAGGUCAGAGAAUUAACGUUGUCGCAUUACCUUCCUAAUUUUAAUUCUUGACCGUUGAUUGAUAGUUAUGUAAACGGCACAAAAUCUUGGCCGUUGGUAUUUGUUUAUCUUUUAACUUCCCGCGUUUUUCGAAAAAUUAUUUAAUUUGUGCUCUAAUUUUCUUUCCUAGCAAGAAAACUUGUACGUGAAAUAAAAUACACGUUUAAUUGAAAAAUGCAUCUACAGUACAUAAUUCACAUUCGAAUCUUGCACUCAGGUUCGAAUCUUUUUUGUUAAACUAGAGUAGUUUAGAAUAUUAUCGGGUAAAAGAAAAAGAGUUAGUAGGCACACAUUUCUGUCGUCUGUCACAUGUCUGAAUAUUGUGGCUGUUCAGGGAUAUGGUUUGACGGAGACCGGAGGAGGGGCAACGAGGAUGAUAAACUCCGAAGAGACUAAGUCGCAUGCUUCUGUGGGCCGCCUAUCGGAAAAUAUGGAAGCCAAGAUUGUCGACCCUGAAACAGGAGAGGCAUUGCCUCCCGGCAAGAGGGGUGAGCUAUGGCUGCGAGGUCCAUCGGUCAUGAAAGGUAAUGAACACUUGCCAUGUCUCAGAUAUCCCACGUUGCAAACGUAAAACGUGGUAAGAUGAUUGUAAGUUUUUCGGCACCCUGUUCUUACAGUUUGAUUUUGCAGUGAUGACAAUGUAGUUCCGUAUCCAAAUGACCUUUUCGAAACCUUUAUAACAUUUGCAGGUUAUGUAGGAGAUGAGAAGGCAACUGCUGAGACCUUGGACAAAGACGGGUGGUUGAAGACCGGUGAUCUUUGCUAUUUCGAUGACGAGGGGUUCCUCUACAUUGUUGACAGGUUGAAGGAGUUGAUAAAGUACAAGGCAUAUCAGGUGACGACCGAAACUGAGACCCUUUGAAAGUUCACUCAUAACAAAGAUCACUGUAAAUAUCAUUUGAUCAGUCCCUUUACGUAAUGUGUUAUUUUCGGUGUCUCUAAUUCUGGAACGAAUUGCAGGUACCUCCAGCUGAGCUGGAACAUAUACUUCUAUCCCAUCCUGACAUUGCCGAUGCUGCUGUGAUUCCGUAUGUAUCUAGUACUAUGUCAUCCUUAGAAGUUUAGCUUUAUUUGUAAACAAGAAAUUGGUGCAUUUAAAGGAGAAAAAAGGUAUAGAGAAAAUUUUCCGUUUAAACGGAUAUUUUGCUGAUAAGAUGGCCUUUACGAAAUCUUGUUUUAUGCCGUCCCACCCUCAUCCCAGAAGGCUAAAAGAAAACGAGUGGCAUGUGUUCGCGCAGAUAGUCGAUAAGAUCACAGUUUCUGGAAUAAUCUACUGGUUUUUCUUUUUGUGUAUUUUUUUCCUCAAGGUUUACAAGUUCUUUGUUCUUCCCAUUUGGGUUCGUAAAACAGGUAUCCGGAUGAAGAUGCAGGGGAGAUUCCCAUGGCCUAUGUGGUUAGAAAGCCCGGAAGCAACAUCACCGAAGUUCUAGUUAUGGAUUUCGUUGCAAAACAAGUAAGCUCCUGAAUGGAAAAUCUGUAACUGAAUGUGCAUACAAGUUUUCUUCACAGCUUUCGAAUUAAAAUUGCUCAUAUACGUAGCUUUACAUACAUAUUUUACGGAAAAAGAGAACAAUUCUCAUCACGAAUAUUAGGGUUCAACUGCAGAUUUGAGGAGCAGCUUUGUAUGUUAUAGGCUUUCACAUUGGUGUUGGCGCGUUCUUAUUGCAGGUUUCACCGUACAAGAAGAUACGGCGGGUAGCGUUUAUCAACUCCAUUCCAAAAUCUCCAGCAGGGAAGAUCUUGAGGAGGGAGCUAGUCAAUCAUGCUUUAUCUAGUAGUUCAUCUAAAUUAUGAUUCGUUCGUCCAAAGCAAAGGAAGAUCAAAGCCUUCUCAGCAUCACAUUCCGUCCGGCGUUCAUCAUAUCGGCUCAUUCAUGCUCAUUAGCAUGUAUGCAAUCUUUGAAUUUUCCGGUGGUGAGGGUCGGAUCAUAGUUGGGUGCCCACUUUGUUUGGGUUUACUUGUGUAUAUGUACACCAUUUUUCUGUGAUAUUUUGAAACCCUAAACCCUUCAAGACCCUUUUUUGUUUCUUCGUACCAUUGUGUACUGUGCCAUAGAAGUUUGCUCCCCAUCUUAUGGCCUUCAUACAACAUUUUUAUCGUAUGGGCCCUAUCUCUAUUAUUUAUCGCUCUUAGAGAAGCAAUUUGGACACUUCCAACCGUUUGUGUGCACUCACUUGAAUUUAGAGACUUCCAACCGUUUGUGCACACUCACAAUACUUGGGUUAGUAGACCGCGCACUUGUGAGUGUGACGUUUGAUUCAACUAGCCCUAGCAAAAUCCAUGACAUGUUCGUACACCACGUAACAAUUGCAAACACAUCUUACAUUAUCAAUAUUGGGCCUAUAUAUACCAAUUUACUUGUUCGCUAGUCUCCAACCACUUUAACCACGUAGCAAUUUGCUUGUUGCAACUCCGGCAAUACGUCGCAAUCGAGAAUCAAUAACAGCUCCGGAAACUUGGGAAUAACCAACAGUUCCGGGAACCUCGGGAGGUUUCUUCUCAGAAAGUGAUCUUGAAGCAGUUGAUUAUGUUCUAAUGCCUACAAAUACACAAUUGGCCUCAUACAUGUCCCUCUAUCGGAAAAGACAGCCUUUUUGGUGUGUCCACUUGCAACUUCCUCAUGCUCUGUACUUCCCCUCUACGCUGCGCAGAGAAAACUAAAAAACUAAAUCCAAAACAGUUAUCAAACUCGCCCAUUGUGUUUUGAUUUUGGAGUGUAACAAAGUUUGCUAUUGUUUUCAGUGACCUACACGCAACCCUAGUGGAAUUACCCUCUAUCUGCUUCUUUGAGGUGACACUAGCUCUUUUCGUGAUUGGGAAGACGAUAACGUUCACGACUCGAUGAUUUAUGUUCGGGGUUCUGAUGAUUUAUGUUCGGGGGCUCGUUAGACUUCUGCUGCAUUCUGUUUCGUCAAGCACAACAUUUACAACACCCAGUGAUACGGAAAAAACCAGUCAUGUUCGGCUAGAAAUAUCGAAACUGCCAGAUGUAAGGAAGACGGUUGCAAAGGGAAAUCGAAGAAAAAAAGAAAUCUACUGCUGCUAUCAUCUCACGUAAUCCGCAUUACAAAUGAUACUUAUAUACUGCCGCGAUUCGCACGAUGAAUGACAGAAUUUUGACAUGAUUACCUUUCAAAAAUCUUACUGUAAUGCGGAGAAGAGAAUAUAUCCAUCACGGUGACUCUUUGCAUGGGUAAAAGUUACAUAUGCAUCCUGCAUAAAAGGAGUUCAGAGAAAAAGAAGGCGUGAAAGUACCAAACCGGAUCUUCGUUAUUCUAAAGACUAACAAACAAAAAGAAAAACACGAAUAUCAUAAGCAACAUUACGCAACUUUUCCUCUGAUGCUCGGUACAAAGCUUUGAUAUUAUCCUGUCUUUACAAAAAAAUGGUUCCCACCGUGGCUGAUAAAGCUGCUGCUAAUGAAAGCACAGGAUAUGAGGAGGGCCUGGCAUGUAAAUUUCAGACAACUAAUUUACACAACAUUGAGCUCAUAGGGCAUACAUACAUCACAUGAAUUCACAUCAUUCGACAUUGUGACGAUGCCAAUUCAAUCAGCAUACCUUUUAACUAGACACGAUUUCAGAAAAUUAAGGCACAUGGGAAGCACGGUAAACAUCUUUACUUCAUACAUCUUUAUUUUCUUCAUUUUUUUUAAAUCAUUCAACAUCUUCCAUUACACUUUUGAGUCCCCAGCAUUCUCUAUGCUUCAGAAAAAUCCGAGCUAAAUUUUUUAAAAUUUCAACUAUUUCCACUGGGGACACGAUGUCAUAUCCAACCAGCAUACAGGGAACAUUUCUCGAUCCAAAUAGUUACAAGUUGAGUAGAUAUGCUAGCAAUUGAUAUUUUAUAAAUACUCAUUACUAAACUCUACAGCAUCACAAUUUUCUACUGAUUCGGCAUAAGAUUGAUGUAAACUACAAACCGUAGAUAUCCUAUGCACACUACACAUGGCAAAAAACGAUAACAGCUGCACCUAGAUUCACAAAUCGAUAAGGAAAAAUGAAAACCCUUACCAGUUGAGUGAUCUAGCUGCAGGCAAGCAAAUUCUCCAUUGCCAUAGCAAGCUAAUUCCUAACAGAAUAAUGCACAUGGGAAGCUACAUCUCAAAAAUUAAUCAAAUGAAGUAAUAGGCAGAUGAAGGAGAAGACAAAAAGGAAUUACAAGACAGAGAAAAACAAAAUAUAAGUUUAAACCACAUUGCAGCUCCUGGCUCUACGAGAUAAAACCUCAACCAAAAAGCAUCCACAGAAUGCAGAAGCAAUCGAACCCGAUGAGGAACUGAACGUACUGCACGUAUCAAAAUAACUCAAGCACCUAACAAAACAACACUACUUAGACAACGAGAAAUAGCAGCGGAAGAGACUGGCAACACUGUCAACUUAUAGUGCACACAAUAUAUCUUGUUUAUUUUAUGUGUAUUAGAAGUGGUCUAGACAGAACUUGCAUUUGGGCAAUAAAAUUAAACCAAUAUAAUGCCUCGUUUACUAUGAACUUGAAGAAAAGGAAACAUUUCCAACAAAUUAUCAAUCGAGGAUUGGCCGCGUGAAGUAUGAACACACUGGCCUAACAUAGCAUAACCAUAAGCUAAGCAUUAGAGGGAGCAUCAUGAUUUAGGAAAACAUGGAAGACCGAACAGACCUCAAUCCAUGAACCAGCAAUGCAUAUGACUGGAUACACCUCAAAAGACCUUGUGUGUGGUAAAAUAACUUACGAUUGCGGAACUUCCAGUCUCCAAGUGUGAAAGCGAAUAAUGCACCCUCCCAUUCUUUUAAAGCCCAGAAUCACUUGCAAACAAAGUUUUAAGCGUGAAUAAAGUGAAAGCAAAAGGUUUUAACGUACAAAUAAUGAAGACGACAUUGAUAAAAAUAAUAUCAUUCCAAUGUGAACAUAUAUACACAGGUUCAAGAAUGUGGGAAAAAAAACAAAAAGUUCUCUUUUCUUCUCAACAUUUUGCCACACCUUCAUAUAGGAAGACUGUGCACCGCUAUUAAGCUGCUCUUAACAGGAUAAACCAUUAGUGCCGACUGACACACCUUGCAACUCCUUUGCUCCAGCUAUCCUAAAGGACCCUACAGUAGAGGUCUUUGUUGUACUUUCUAGCUGCCAUCAGGUUAGCAAAAUAUAAAGAACUGCAAAAAGAACAGGCUAAGAUUAUUGCUGUAAAAUUUUCUCACGCCGCCUGCUGUUAAGGUGCCGGUCGUGAACAUGUCGAUCAGGAGUAAUUGGCUUGAAAUCCCUUCUUGGUUCAGGGGACUCGUGAAACCAGGUAUGGUUGAGGGCAUCCGUCGCUGUUAUUCGCUCCGCAGGGUUAUAACAUAAGAGCCUCUUCAGCAAAUCAAACCCAGAUUCAGAGAGCACUGGGCAUGAACCAGUGAAAGAUGCGGCAGGAAAUUUCUUGCGCAGAAGAUUGUAC
rnacentral:lncRNA from 1 species